rnacentral:rRNA from 1 species
AUGUUCAUAACCCUUUGUUGUCCGACUCUGUUGCCUCCGGGGCGACCCUGCCUUCGGGCGGGGGCUCCGGGUGGACACUUCAAACUCUUGCGUAACUUUGCAGUCUGAGUAAACUUAAUUAAUAAAUUAAAACUUUUAACAACGGAUCUCUUGGUUCUGGCAUCGAUGAAGAACGCAGCGAAAUGCGAUAAGUAAUGUGAAUUGCAGAAUUCAGUGAAUCAUCGAAUCUUUGAACGCACAUUGCGCCCCCUGGUAUUCCGGGGGGCAUGCCUGUUCGAGCGUCAUUUCACCACUCAAGCCUCGCUUGGUAUUGGGCAUCGCGGUCCGCCGCGUGCCUCAAAUCGACCGGCUGGGUCUUCUGUCCCCUAAGCGUUGUGGAAACUAUUCGCUAAAGGGUGUUCGGGAGGCUACGCCGUAAAACAACCCCAUUUCUAAGGUUGACCUCGGAUCAGGUAGGGAUACCCGCUGAACUUAAGCAUAUCAAUAAGCGGAGGAAA